GAGAGGAAGUGUGGCUGAAGGGCUGGUUAAUGAAGACCCCCCCACCACCAUUGUUAAGGGAGCCUUAAGUAACAGCUAGCAGCUAUUCAGCUGACCUUGGACACAGGAAAUGAGAUGCUUUCAACAGAUUUUUCAAUAGUCUUGCAGACUUGGACAGCUUAAAAAAGGGACGAGAGGAAGCGAGCUUGACAGAUUGCUUUCCUACACUGGAGAUUAUAAAACAAAUAAUUUUUUUCCUGUAGAUUAUUACAAGAUUAACAAGCAUCAACCUACUAAACUGAACAAAUGAGAUGUUUAUAAGCACAAGGGCCAGUUUCUGAUGCCCUCAAUUUGAGAAAUGCCUUAUUUCCCUGCUGGUCAUUUUGAAUUCAGCUGUACUACCAAUACACUAAAUGCUGAUUCAAGCAACUCCAUACUGUUCUAAAACAAAACAGUAUAAUUUGAGACAGAACUCAUAAAAAUGCAUGUCUUAAUUAUGCAGAAAAGCAGAAAAAUAAACAGAAAUAAGAAGCUUGCAAGAGAACCCCC